CAGCAGCCGCGGUAAAACGAAGGGUGCAAGCGUUAAUCGGAAUUACUGGGCGUAAAGCGUGCGUAGGCGGUGAGUUAAGUCUGUUGUGAAAUCCCCGGGCUCAACCUGGGAAUGGCAAUGGAUACUGGCAAGCUAGAGUGUGUCAGAGGAUGGUGGAAUUCCCGGUGUAGCGGUGAAAUGCGUAGAGAUCGGGAGGAACAUCAGUGGCGAAGGCGGCCAUCUGGGACAACACUGACGCUGAGGCACGAAAGCGUGGGGAGCAAACAGGAUUAGAUACCCCCGUAGUCCCUGUCUCUUAUAC
rnacentral:rRNA from 1 species